AUUGAACGCUGGCGGCAUGCUUUACACAUGCAAGUCGAACGGUAACAGGCCUUCGGGUGCUGACGAGUGGCGAACGGGUGAGUAAUGCAUCGGAACGUGCCCAAUCGUGGGGGAUAACGUAGCGAAAGUUACGCUAAUACCGCAUAAGCCCUGAGGGGGAAAGUGGGGGACCGCAAGGCCUCACGCGAAUGGAGCGGCCGAUGUCAGAUUAGCUAGUUGGUGGGGUAAAGGCCCACCAAGGCGACGAUCUGUAGCGGGUCUGAGAGGAUGAUCAGCCACAAUGGGACUGAGACACGGCCCAUACUCCUACGGGAGGCAGCAGUGGGGAAUUUUACGCAAUGGGCGAAAGCCUGACGUAGCGACACCGCGUGAGCGAAGAAGCCCCUUGGGUGUAAAGCUCUGUCAGCUGGAACGAAAAAAUGACGGUACCAGCAGAGGAAGCAUCGGCUAACUACGUG
rnacentral:rRNA from 1 species